rnacentral:rRNA from 1 species
UACGUAGGGACCAAGCGUUGUUCGGAUUUACUGGGCGUAAAGGGCGCGUAGGCGGCGUGGUAAGUCACUUGUGAAAUCUCUGAGCUUAACUCAGAACGGCCAAGUGAUACUGCUGUGCUAGAGUGCAGAAGGGGGCAAUCGGAAUUCUUGGUGUAGCGGUGAAAUGCGUAGAUAUCAAGAGGAACACCUGAGGUGAAGACGGGUUGCUGGGCUGACACUGACGCUGAGGCGCGAAAGCCAGGGGAGCAAACGGG